rnacentral:lncRNA from 1 species
ACAUCUGUCACCAUGUUGAUUUGUCUAAUCUACCUGGCUAUGUAUGUGUGCCCUACAUCCCUCACUACUCCAUGCAAGUCCCUCCCCAGCCUGUGGGCACCAAGAGAAUGACCUUCCUCAUAGACGGGGACUCAUUCCUCCAAUAAGCUUAUAGGAGUCACCAUGCUCCCCUGCUCGAGCUUCCUAACAAGCUUUCAAAGUCCAUUUCUAAGAGAA